GACGAACGCUGGCGGCGUGCCUAAUACAUGCAAGUCGAACGCACUCUCGUUUAGAUUGAAGGAGCUUGCUCCUGAUUGAUAAACAUUUGAGUGAGUGGCGGACGGGUGAGUAACACGUGGGUAACCUGCCCUAAAGUGGGGGAUAACAUUUGGAAACAGAUGCUAAUACCGCAUAAAACCUAAACACCGCAUGGUGUAGGGUUGAAAGAUGGUUUCGGCUAUCACUUUAGGAUGGACCCGCGGUGCAUUAGUUAGUUGGUGAGGUAAAGGCUCACCAAGACCGUGAUGCAUAGCCGACCUGAGAGGGUAAUCGGCCACACUGGGUCUGAGACACGGCCCAGACUCCUACGGAGGCAGCAGUAGGGAAUCUUCCACAAUGGACGAAAGUCUGAUGGAGCAACGCCGCGUGAGUGAAGAAGGUUUUCGGAUCGUAAAACUCUA
rnacentral:rRNA from 1 species